UUAAGCGACUAAGCGUACACGGUGGAUGCCCUGGCAGUCAGAGGCGAUGAAGGACGUGCUAAUCUGCGAAAAGCGUCGGUAAGGUGAUAUGAACCGUUAUAACCGGCGAUGUCCGAAUGGGGAAACCCAGUGCAAUUCGUUGCACUAUCGUUAACUGAAUACAUAGGUUAACGAGGCGAACCGGGGGAACUGAAACAUCUAAGUACCCCGAGGAAAAGAAAUCAACCGAGAUUCCCCCAGUAGCGGCGAGCGAACGGGGAGCAGCCCAGAGUCUGAAUCAGCUUGUGUGUUAGUGGAACGGUCUGGAAAGUCCGACGGUACAGGGUGAUAGUCCCGUACACCAAAAUGCACAGGUUGUGAACUCGAAGAGUAGGGCGGGACACGUGGUAUCCUGUCUGAAUAUGGGGGGACCAUCCUCCAAGGCUAAAUACUCCUGACUGACCGAUAGUGAACCAGUACCGUGAGGGAAAGGCGAAAAGAACCCCGGCGAGGGGAGUGAAAAAGAACCUGAAACCGUGUACGUACAAGCAGUGGGAGCACCUUCGGGUGUGACUGCGUACCUUUUGUAUAAUGGGUCAGCGACUUAUAUUCUGUAGCAAGGUUAACCGUAUAGGGGAGCCGCAGGGAAACCGAGUCUUAACUGGGCGUUAAGUUGCAGGGUAUAGACCCGAAACCCGGUGAUCUAGCCAUGGGCAGGUUGAAGGUUGGGUAACACUAACUGGAGGACCGAACCGACUAAUGUUGAAAAAUUAGCGGAUGACUUGUGGCUGGGGGUGAAAGGCCAAUCAAACCGGGAGAUAGCUGGUUCUCCCCGAAAGCUAUUUAGGUAGCGCCUCGUGAACUCAUCUUCGGGGGUAGAGCACUGUUUCGGCUAGGGGGUCAUCCCGACUUACCAACCCGAUGCAAACUACGAAUACCGAAGAAUGUUAUCACGGGAGACACACGGCGGGUGCUAACGUCCGUCGUGAAGAGGGAAACAACCCAGACCGCCAGCUAAGGUCCCAAAGUCAUGGUUAAGUGGGAAACGAUGUGGGAAGGCACAGACAGCCAGGAUGUUGGCUUAGAAGCAGCCAUCAUUUAAAGAAAGCGUAAUAGCUCACUGGUCGAGUCGGCCUGCGCGGAAGAUGUAACGGGGCUAAACCAUGCACCGAAGCUGCGGCAGCGACACUAUGUGUUGUUGGGUAGGGGAGCGUUCUGUAAGCCUGCGAAGGUGUGCUGUGAGGCAUGCUGGAGGUAUCAGAAGUGCGAAUGCUGACAUAAGUAACGAUAAAGCGGGUGAAAAGCCCGCUCGCCGGAAGACCAAGGGUUCCUGUCCAACGUUAAUCGGGGCAGGGUGAGUCGACCCCUAAGGCGAGGCCGAAAGGCGUAGUCGAUGGGAAACAGGUUAAUAUUCCUGUACUUGGUGUUACUGCGAAGGGGGGACGGAGAAGGCUAUGUUAGCCGGGCGACGGUUGUCCCGGUUUAAGCAUGUAGGCUGAUUGUCCAGGCAAAUCCGGAUAAUCAAGGCUGAGGUGUGAUGACGAGGCACUACGGUGCUGAAGUAACAAAUGCCCUGCUUCCAGGAAAAGCCUCUAAGCAUCAGGUAACAUCAAAUCGUACCCCAAACCGACACAGGUGGUCAGGUAGAGAAUACCAAGGCGCUUGAGAGAACUCGGGUGAAGGAACUAGGCAAAAUGGUGCCGUAACUUCGGGAGAAGGCACGCUGGUGUGUAGGUGAAGCCCCUGCGGGUGGAGCUGAGACCAGUCGAAGAUACCAGCUGGCUGCAACUGUUUAUUAAAAACACAGCACUGUGCAAACACGAAAGUGGACGUAUACGGUGUGACGCCUGCCCGGUGCCGGAAGGUUAAUUGAUGGGGUUAUCCGUAAGGAGAAGCUCUUGAUCGAAGCCCCGGUAAACGGCGGCCGUAACUAUAACGGUCCUAAGGUAGCGAAAUUCCUUGUCGGGUAAGUUCCGACCUGCACGAAUGGCGUAAUGAUGGCCAGGCUGUCUCCACCCGAGACUCAGUGAAAUUGAACUCGCUGUGAAGAUGCAGUGUACCCGCGGCAAGACGGAAAGACCCCGUGAACCUUUACUAUAGCUUGACACUGAACAUUGAGCCUUGAUGUGUAGGAUAGGUGGGAGGCUUUGAAGCGUGGACGCCAGUCUGCGUGGAGCCAACCUUGAAAUACCACCCUUUAAUGUUUGAUGUUCUAACGUUGGCCCCUGACCGGGGUUGCGGACAGUGUCUGGUGGGUAGUUUGACUGGGGCGGUCUCCUCCCAAAGCGUAACGGAGGAGCACGAAGGUUAGCUAAUCCUGGUCGGACAUCAGGAGGUUAGUGCAAUGGCAUAAGCUAGCUUGACUGCGAGCGUGACGGCGCGAGCAGGUGCGAAAGCAGGUCAUAGUGAUCCGGUGGUUCUGAAUGGAAGGGCCAUCGCUCAACGGAUAAAAGGUACUCCGGGGAUAACAGGCUGAUACCGCCCAAGAGUUCAUAUCGACGGCGGUGUUUGGCACCUCGAUGUCGGCUCAUCACAUCCUGGGGCUGAAGUAGGUCCCAAGGGUAUGGCUGUUCGCCAUUUAAAGUGGUACGCGAGCUGGGUUUAGAACGUCGUGAGACAGUUCGGUCCCUAUCUGCCGUGGGCGCUGGAGAAUUGAGGGGGGCUGCUCCUAGUACGAGAGGACCGGAGUGGACGCAUCACUGGUGUUCGGGUUGUCAUGCCAAUGGCACUGCCCGGUAGCUAAAUGCGGAAGAGAUAAGUGCUGAAAGCAUCUAAGCACGAAACUUGCCCCGAGAUGAGUUCUCCCUGAGACUUUAAGUCUCCUGAAGGAACGUUGAAGACGACGACGUUGAUAGGCCGGGUGUGUAAGCGCAGCGAUGCGUUGAGCUAACCGGUACUAAUGAACCGUGAGGCUUAACCUU
rnacentral:rRNA from 1 species